GAUGAACGCUGGCGGCAUGCCUAACACAUGCAAGUCGAGCGGCAGCUAGGGGUGCUUGCACCCUGUGGGCGAGCAGCGGACGGCUGAGUCACGCGUGGGAACGUUCACCAAAGUGAGGAAUAACUGCCCGCAAGGGUAGCUAAUACCCCAUAUUAUCUUCGGAUCAAAGGAUUUAUCCGCUUUGGGAGCGGCUCGCGUCGGAUUAGGUAGUUGGUGAGGUAAUGGCUCACCAAGCCGACGAUCCGUAGCUGGUCUGAGAGGAUGACCAGCCAGACUGGAACUGAGACACGGUCCAGACUCCUACGGGAGGCAGCAGUGGGGAAUAUUCCACAAUGGGCGAAAGCCUGAUGGAGCAACGCCGCGUGCAGGACGAAGGCCUUCGGGUUGUAAACUGCUUUUAUAAGUGAGGAAUAUGACGGUAACUGAUGAAUAAGGAUCGGCUAACUACGUG
rnacentral:rRNA from 1 species